UUCUUGGUCAUUUAGAGGAAGUAAAAGUCGUAACAAGGUUUCCGUAGGUGAACCUGCGGAAGGAUCAUUAAAGAAAUUUAAUAAUUUUGAAAAUGGAUUUUUUUGUUUUGGCAAGAGCAUGAGAGCUUUUACUGGGCAAGAAGACAAGAGAUGGAGAGUCCAGCCGGGCCUGCGCUUAAGUGCGCGGUCUUGCUAGGCUUGUAAGUUUCUUUCUUGCUAUUCCAAACGGUGAGAGAUUUCUGUGCUUUUGUUAUAGGACAAUUAAAACCGUUUCAAUACAACACACUGUGGAGUUUUCAUAUCUUUGCAACUUCUUCUUUGGUCAUUCGAGCAAUCGGGGCCCAGAGGUAACAAACACAAACAAUUUUAUCUAUUCAUUAAAUUUUUGUCAAAAACAAGAAUUUUCGUAACUGGAAAUUUUAAAAUAUUAAAAACUUUCAACAACGGAUCUCUUGGUUCUCGCAUCGAUGAAGAACGCAGCGAAAUGCGAUACGUAAUGUGAAUUGCAGAAUUCCGUGAAUCAUCGAAUCUUUGAACGCACAUUGCGCCCCUUGGUAUUCCAGGGGGCAUGCCUGUUUGAGCGUCAUUUCCUUCUCAAACAUUCUGUUUGGUAGUGAGUGAUACUCUCUGGAGUUAACUUGAAAUUGCUGGCCUUUUCAUUGGAUGUUUUUUUUCCAAAGAGAGGUUUCUCUGCGUGCUUGAGGUAUAAUGCAAGUACGGUCGUUUUAGGUUUUACCAACUGCAGCUAAUCUUUUUUUAUACUGAGCGUAUUGGAACGUUAUCGAUAAGAAGAGAGCGUCUAGGCGAACAAUGUUCUUAAAGUUUGACCUCAAAUCAAGGUAGGAGUACCCGCUGAACUUAAGCAUAUCAAUAAGCCGGAGGAA
rnacentral:rRNA from 1 species